GAUGAACGCUGGCGGCGUGCCUAAUACAUGCAAGUCGAGCGAACAGACGAGGAGCUUGCUCCUCUGACGUUAGCGGCGGACGGGUGAGUAACACGUGGAUAACCUACCUAUAAGACUGGGAUAACUUCGGGAAACCGGAGCUAAUACCGGAUAAUAUAUUGAACCGCAUGGUUCAAUAGUGAAAGACGGUUUUGCUGUCACUUAUAGAUGGAUCCGCGCCGCAUUAGCUAGUUGGUAAGGUAACGGCUUACCAAGGCAACGAUGCGUAACCGACCUGAGAGGGUGAACGGCCACACUGGAACUGAGACACGGUCCAGACUCCUACGGGAGGCAGCAGUAGGGAAUCUUCCGCAAUGGGCGAAAGCUUGACGGAGCAACGCCGCGUGAGUGAUGAAGGUCUUCGGAUCGUAAAACUCUGUUAUUAGGGAAGAACAAAUGUGUAAGUAACUAUGCACGUCUUGACGGUACCUAAUCAGAAAGCCACGGCUAACUACGUG
rnacentral:rRNA from 1 species